rnacentral:rRNA from 1 species
UACGUAGGGUGCAAGCGUUGUCCGGAAUUAUUGGGCGUAAAGAGCUCGUAGGCGGUUUGUCGCGUCUGCUGUGAAAACCCGAGGCUCAACCUCGGGCCUGCAGUGGGUACGGGCAGACUAGAGUGGCGGUAGGGGAGAUUGGAAUUCCUGGUGUAGCGGUGGAAUGCGCAGAUAUCAGGAGGAACACCGAUGGCGAAGGCAGAGUCU